CAUGGAACACAUGGAUUAUUAUUUUGGAUAAGUUGUUAAAUUCCAGGUUCCAUUUAUAUUUGAAAAUUAAUUAUCAUAGAAUGCUGUUCAGGAUUUUGCCCCUCGUCCAGAGUUCACCUCGAGCAUAAAAUUCUUAAACUUAAAUUGAUUCACUUAAAUUUGUUGCAUUAGUCACCUGACAAACAAAUAGCUGAGUUUUGCGUAGAUUACAAUGUCGAGUUUUGAGCACAAUUGUUUUUUGAUCUUUGUUAGCACCUGAGAGUGUGUGAGGGGGUCACUGAUAAACACUUAACUGUACUGCAACAGGUGAGAGCUGUGCGAGAGCGAGUGUGAACUUAACGUGGCAAAUGCCUUCGGACGAAUGAGCGUUGCAUGCAACGUAGUAUGACAGGUGGUAAACUUAUCGAAACUCAACACCUGGCUGGUGUCUGGCGCUGAUUUAGCCACAGGCACUCAAACUGGGCGAAGCAGGUCGAAAAGGUGUCGACUCGCGGGCCACUAAGUUUGCCAGGUGCAAAUACAGGCCAGCUACCUGAAGUCAACAACUUGUCAUAUUGUCACACAUAGCCCCUGCUAACCGCAACCCCCCUCCCAGCCCCCCAAGCAGCUGCGGUUGUACGCCACGCCACAACUAAAACCGCGUUUCGGGCCGUAGCUUUUAAAUACAUUUCGCAGUCUAACAUCCAAAAUGACGAAAGUGGCGCUCAGCAAAGCGUCUCAAAUUCAAUUAACAUGCAAAAUUACGUGGAAAAUGCAUUACAAUUCCCAACUGUGGUUGGUCAACUAAAACGGUUUUCAGGAGAUUCCUUGCAAAAAAACUGACAAGUGUCGAUUAAAUGCAAAAUAAACUAUACAUAUAUCUAGUUAUAACAUAAUAUAUAACUAGUUAUAAUAUAAAUUGGAAAAUAUACGUGUUGAAAUCAA